GUGAGUUCAAAGUUACAUUUUCAAUAUAUCUAUUUUGAAAAUGCGACUUCUGGGCUUACAG
rnacentral:pre_miRNA from 1 species